UGGCUGUCUUAACGGCAUCAAAGUAAUUUCAACGUGUGCUGCUAGACAAUAAAUUAAAAUUGAUGGCAGUUUCGUCAUUUUAUAAUAAAUCUAGAAUAGACUCAAACACUGACUGAAGAGACACAAACCCAUCCCUUCCAAUACUUCCGGCAAAUGCUCAGUUGUUUUCAUCCUUUCAAACAAGUUCAGUUAUACUCCUCUUCUUUCAUUUAUUUGCUUUUUCAAGCUCUCUUCAGAAAAUUUCCCAAUUUGAUGGGCGAAUCUAAUGGUUGUCGAAAAACAUGCUCCCAAGCAGAUGCCUCGAUUUUCGUUUCGUUUGCAGAGAAACGAUUUACCUCAGAAAUUGAGCAAGUCUGGGAAAAGAGACAGCAAAUCAAGCUGCAGAUAAUUUGAAUGAAGUUCUCAAUUAUUUGGAUCUAAGGAGAAAAGAGAGCUCCAAUAGAGGCUAAUAGGUUGAAGGCAUUGCUAAGAGCUGUUUCUCUACUGCUUUAAUCAAGUCUACUUGAUUGUUUCUACAUAAAGCCCGAUAAAGAUUGGUAAGUUGUUAUUAUAGCGUAUCUUACUUUUCUGUAGCAGAUUUUUCUGGAUUUGCUUAUGCAUGAGACCAUUUGAGCAAUUUCUAUGUAGAUUGAUGAAAAUAUUUUCAUGCGAAAAACUCAACUUUUAUAUAUAUUGACCAAUAGAAACAUCUAAUCGCAUGAGUCUAUCUUUGUAUCUUUUUCAAUUUUGUUGGAACAGUUGACUUCAUUUCUUUGUAAUAACUAUUUUUGUAUAAUCUAUUGAACAGUAACGAGAGGAUGGUCAUGUAUCGUUUGUCAGAUUAAGAAUCUGUCCAUUUUUGCCUACUUAUGUUGCUUCUGUUGGAAUAAUACUUAACUGUCCUAAUACUUGGUUGAAUUUGAACUAAAAGUACAAAUUGUCGAGUUCAAGUGCUCUUCAUGAUGCUUAGAUUCGUAGUUCCAAUGUAUUUCUUAGGACUACUUAACAAGUAACAUAAGAGGUGCAAACUUGAAUUAUCCGAAGCUAAAUGUUGGUCUCCUUCAAGUUGUCAUGUCCAUCGAUCUCAUGUCAUCCCCUCCAUUCCUUUAAUAUAUUAUCUGCAUUUCAUGUUUAUUUCAUCUUGUAGUAGAAAAAUUGGUAAAUGCAGAGACACUUUUUUCGAUAGGUGGACACUACUCUGGAAUUAGUUGAAGCCUAGAUGAACUGUCUACUAAUUGUGAAAUGAAUUCUGAGCUCUGGUAAGUGCUCUGCAGUUGAGUUGAUGUGGUGUCACUUUGUUUUGUUGAUAAUCUGCUAAAGUUAGAUAUUUACUAAUGCCUUUUGCUUUUCAGACAAAGUGUCCUUAUGCAUUACUUUACUUUUUUCAGAUUGUAAAAUUCAAUAGGAAACUCAAGAAGUGUUACUACAAAGUGAAUCUACAUCCUUUGUGUUAGUUUCAAGUAUUGUAUUGAACAUUAUACUUAUCGCGGACUUUUUCAAUGACAAUGAUUAGAUUUUCUAAAUAUUUAAAGUAUGUGGUAUCAUUGUUUGUAUUAUAGACGUUCUUACUUUUCAGAUGUGACGUUUUUGUUUUGUUUUUCAUUAUGUUCAGAUAAAUAUAGCCUGCUGAAGCUGGCGCUCUAGAUCUUUCCUCCCUAGCCACUUCUGCAUAGAGGAGGAUAAUAUAAUUCUUCACUCCAACCCUGGAAGGCAGGGAGCUCACCAAGUAAGUUAGGCUCAACCGUUAAUCUGUACCAGGAAUACUAGAACAAAUGCUAUUUGAAUUUUAUUGGCCUUAUUUAAUAUUUUUUUUGUAGUUUAGUAACUAAACCGACUCAUUUUUCGUGUUGCACGGGCUUGCCACCGUCUAGUAAUCUUAUCAACAUUCAUUAUUUAUAAAGUAUGCAUCCAAUAGUA